UGCAUUCAGUUAUCUCAAAGUAUUUGAGAUGAACCAGACAUUUAGCCAUAGAAAAUGAUAAUAGGUAUUUUAUGUUUCUACAACCAUCGAUUUUCAAUGUGGUUAACGUCUCAUGAGUGCAAAAAGAUACAUUUGACAACUGGUUGUGCCAUACCUUUAUAACACUAAGUGAUGCCAACCGCAAUUUUUUCAAGGAAGGAAACGAUAUCUGAAACCAUACACAUCAGUAUUUCUACUUUCAAAUAUGUUAGGAUCGUCCCGAUUAAGCAACGAACAAGUAAAAAUAGUAGAAGAAAUUGAGAAGAUGAACACACAAAUUUAACGUGGAAAAACCCCUCAAAAGAGGAUAAAAAACCACGAGCAAAGAUAAUUUUACUAUAAUGGCAAAAGAAUGAAGAGUACAAAAGAUGGAGAUAAAAACUAAACCCCGAAAACCCGAAAAACAAAGAACCCUCAAACGUAAACACAAAAUUCUCUGAAUGUGUUAUGAGUUCUAAUCUAAUGGGUGUCUCUUAAUUCUAAGAUUGUAAAGGAGCCUAUUUAUAGGCUAAAUUAGUAAGUCAAAUAAACUAUACUAAUAAAUGCUAAAUAUAUUAUACUAAUAAAUACUAAAUCUUCUAGAAAGAAAAUAUAUUUUUGUUUAACUUGACUUGCAAGCAAUCUCUUAGAAUUUGGGUCACACAAUUCUAACAAUCUCCACCUUGACACGAAUUCUUUCAAUGCCAUCUUUGCCAAAACCCGCCACGGGCCUAUCUUGAACUAUGCAGGGAAUUAACUGAGUCGAAUCUAUGCUUAGAAGCUGGAAGACUUCUAGCCUUCGACUUGUGCACUGCCAAAUCAAAACUAACCCGAGUCUGAUUUUCACGAAUACAGCGCCCUAACUUUUCAAAACCUGCAUCCAAAAGAGAACCUCUCUUCAACGAAACGGUCAUACCUUUUUCCCUCCUAUGACCAAGUUGCCUCCGCUUCAAAUGAGUUGACUUUGACUCCGUAACGGACGAGGGACGUCCGAUUUCACCGGUCACUGUAGAACCUUCCAGAAUAUAAAGACUGCCGGUUCUUUUACCUUUUAACAAAAUGAGAGCUCCACGAGAUACUUUAAUGUCGCUCGACUCGAUGUUGAUUCUGCAUCCUUUCAAGUCUAAAAUACUCAAGGAGAUGAGAUUCUUUCGUAAAUCAGGUACAUACCUGACAUCUGAGAGUGUCCUAAUCGUCCCAUCGUGUAUCCUAAUUUUAACAGUACCAAUAUUUUACUAGAUGAAUCGUUUCCCAUGUGCACAACUCCACCUUCAACUGAACUGUAUGUGGAGAACCAUUCUCUAUUGGGACACAUGUGGAAAGAACAUCCUGAAUCUAGGAUCCACUCAGACGUAAGCUUGGAGUUAUCGUUCGUUAACACUAACAAGAAAUUAUCACCGCCUUCAUCGACCAAAUUAGCACCAGCUACAUCUUCCUCGUUACUCUCAGCAGCUCUUUUAUUUCGCAGUUUAUAACAAUCUGCUUUGACGUGACCUAACUUUUUGCAAUAGCGACACCUUUUGUCUCGUUUCUUUGAUGCUACCAAAACGGAAGCUUGUCUAUCUGCUUUGCUAUUCAAAUCAAACUCAUUGUCGAGUUUGUCCUUACUCAACAAAUGACCUUUCACAUCUUCGAACGAGAGUUUGUCUCUGCCAUAAAUCAGGGUCUCCCUGAAAGACUUGUAUGAAGAGGGUAAAGAGCACAAUAAUAGCAUAGCUUGAUCUUCAUCGUCAAUAUGAACCUCAACGUUCUUUAAAUCAUUUAAAAGAGUAAUGAAUUGACUGAUGUGAUCUUUAAGAAGCUCACCUUCGUUCAUGCGAAACGUAAAUAGACGUUGUUUCAACACUAAACGGUUAGCCAGAGACUUAGUCGCAUAAAGAGUUUCUAACCUUUUCCACAAGGCGAAUGAGGUCUUCUCCAUCAAUACCUCCUGCAAUACUGUAUUCGCGAGGCACAACUGGAUUGCAGACAAGGCCUUUUCAUCAAGCUCUUCCCAUUCUGUUUGAUUUAGAUUCUCAGGCUUUUUCCCUGUAACAACCUUUUUCAAGCCAUUUUGAACUAGAAUUGCCAUCAUCCGAACUUGCCACAGAUUGAAAUUUGUCUCACCAUCGAACUUCUCAAUUUCAAACCUUGUUGCUGCCAUCUCUGACCGGGCUGAUCUAUAAAAGUUAAACUAGCUCUGAUAUCACUUGUUAGGAUCGUCCCGAUUAAGCAACGAAUAAGUAAAAAUAGUAGAAGAAAUUGAGAAGAUGAACACACAAAUUUAACGUGGAAAAACCCCUCAAAAGAGGAUAAAAAACCACGGGCAAAGAUAAUUUUACUAUAAUGGCAAAAGAAUGAAGAGUACAAAAGAUGGAGAUAAAAACUAAACCCCGAAAACCCGAAAAACAAAGAACCCUCAAACGUAAACACAAAAUUCUCUGAAUGUGUUAUGAGUUCUAAUCUAAUGGGUGUCUCUUAAUUCUAAGAUUGUAAAGGAGCCUAUUUAUAGGCUAAAUUAGUAAGUCAAAUAAACUAUACUAAUAAAUGCUAAAUAUAUUAUACUAAUAAAUACUAAAUCUUCUAGAAAGAAAAUAUAUUUUUGUUUAACUUGACUUGCAAGCAAUCUCUUAGAAUUUGGGUCACACAAUUCUAACAAAAUAAAUAUUAUAUAUAUAAUUCUAAAGGAAUAUUUACUUUAUAAUUCUAUUUUUGCAAUUACCAAAUACAAUAAAAAAUUUACCCGUUUGAAAAUUCUAAUGGUGAUAUGCUUCCAAUUCCAAAACAUGUCAUAUUUUUUUCGAGUGGUAAUCUUGCACAUUUCUUGGCUACCUUAAUUGCUGUAGAUCGCAGCUCCUCAUUGUAAUGCCCAAUUAUUUCCCGGGCCCAGUUGAAUAAAAUUCAAUGUUUAAAGUCCAAAUAUACAGGCCCAAAUCAGAAAUUACAAGCCCAAAUUAGCCUAAACAUUGGGAAAUCAGAAACCCUAGGCAGCAAACUAAGCCGCCGCAACAUCCUUGCAACACGUCCCUUCGCUUUCCCCCCGCGCGCGCCUAGCUUCUGCGUGCGUACGCCUCCAGCUGGCCUCUGUACACCUGUAGCAAACGCAACAAACGCAAAAAAAACAACCAGCAACGACAAAGAAAACAGAAAACAAAAUAGCAAGGAAAGAAAAGAAAUAACAGAAGAGAUUUUGGGAUUUUUUAUUUAUUUUUAUUUUCUUUUCGAUUCGGUUAUAUAAGACCGAUUCCAACACUGUAAAGGGAUCCUUUUUUCACAGAAAUUGAAUAUAAAAACAAGAAAAAAAAUUCAAAGAAAAUUUCGUAAGGUUUUUUUAGUCUCUCUUCGUUUUUCUGUAUUUUUCUUUUAUUCUUUUGUUCAUUGCUAGUGUAAAUAAAUAAAAGAGAAAGGAAGUUUAGAGCGAGGAGUUUACCUUUGUUGUGGAGCCGAAUCCUUGUCUUCUCCAUCGUAAUCGGAGAUCGGGCGAAGGAUCGGAGAGCCUUUGAGUGGCUGGUCUACGGAGCGGCGUAGAGGAGCAUGUUUAGCUUAGGUUUUUUUUUUGUUUUGUUAAAAUGAAAUGGCUACUAGUUUU
rnacentral:lncRNA from 1 species